GACGAACCGUGCGAACGUUGUUCGGAUUCACUGGGCUUAAAGGGCGCGCAGGCGGAUAAGCAAGUCCGGGGUGAAAUCUUUCGGCUCAACCGGAAAAGUGCCUUGGAUACUGCUUGUCUUGAGGGAGGUAGGGGUCAUGGGAACUUCCGGUGGAGCGGUGAAAUGCGUUGAUAUCGGAAGGAACGCCGGUGGCGAAAGCGCAUGACUGGAUCUCUUCUGACGCUGAGGCGCGAAAGCUAGGGGAGCAAACGGG
rnacentral:rRNA from 1 species